rnacentral:lncRNA from 1 species
UGGUGUUUCCACUUUGGAGGCUCAGGACUGAGAGGGUCAGGAAUACUGCCCACGAAGAUGAGAAAGAGGGCUGACGUCAGAGAGUGACAUACUGUGGGAAAAACUGAAAGUUACAAAGUAAAGAAAAACAGCAGUUGGCAAUAGUGAGGGAAGAUAUCCAGCGCCUUCCAAACGACCCGUUUCUUUGGGAACCAGGAAAGAAAUAUUAUUUCAAUGACAGAAAGAAGUUGUCGAUUCCACGUUCAUUGCAAAUGCCAGAAAGAGCGACUGCGGCUCUGAGAGUUUUUAUAAAGAACCUCUUGGAUUGGGACAUGCAGGAGGAAGCUGACAGACUCGGUUUCCCCAGGACCACAGGUCCUCAGAGGUGCUUCUCUGUUUUGAGCUAUUGGGACUAUGCCUUUGUAACAUCCUCAUCUCAUAUUUUCUCUAAUGUGGUAUGAUUUGGAGUUCAGGAAGGCCUCCAAGCACGAACCAAUGAUGCUAUGUUGAUGUGGAGUCCUGGGGCACGGCCGUGAACCUUUGCAGGGACUUAUAGAGGAAAGGAGGCCUCAUGUCCCAGCCCCUCCAGAAGCAUCUGGGACACCACAU